CAGAAUGUCACUGGUGCUGAGUACCCGCUCGCCCUCCAGCCUGCUUCUGUGUUCCACAGCAACCGCACACACACAGUGCUGUCUGCGAGCCGUUCUGUGUUCGUGAGGGUUUGCUAUGGGAGAGGUAUAACCCUGGUUCAUCAGAAUCAGGUGCCCGUUCUGUGCUGCCCAGGCAGACGAUCACCUCCUUGGUCCUAUGGUGGCUCCAUAGGCUGGGUGCUGUUCCCAAAUGUGCCCAUUCGACAGGUGAUCCCAGGAGGAAUUGUUCAUCCAGGUGUUCUCCAGGACCAAGGACCCAGAGUUCUCCUGUUCUUUCUCAGUGACCUGGGAAAAUGAAGCCCCCACGCCCCGCAUGGAUAGCUCAGAAUUGUGGAGUCCACCGUCCCUCCCCCAGAGUCAUGGUUUCCACCAGCACAGAGGCUGCUUUGGAGACAAUGGAUCAUUUUCUUCCCCUAAACCAAACACCCUCCUGCUCAACUGGCAUUAUUCCUAAAGCGGCUUCACUGGGCAGACUGAAGGGCCAUGGCAGCCCAAGUGGAUGGACAUGGGAGAGAACGCGACACCUGCUGGUACAGGAGCGAGGGCACGUCAUUACCAAGCAUGAGCAGCAAACAUGGCAGGACAGGAGACACGUGGAAAAGUGGCUGAAGAUGCUGGGAGAAUGGCAGAAAUACAGGAAGAGCAAGAAGGACAUGAAGGAAAAGGGCAAGAGGUCCUCUGAACACAUCCACCAGAUCGACCUGGACGUGAGCCGGACACUGAGGAAUCACAUAAUAUUUAGGAAAUGAUAUGGCAUCAGGUAAGCCUAUGGGGGCCACAGGGUCCCAGUGGAGAUGAAGUGAACCACACGGAUGGAGACAUCUCCGGAGCAAAAACCAGGUUCACCCAGGAGGGAUGACAGAGCUGCCAAGGGCUCCCCUGGCCCAGGGAGCAGCCGGCACCAUGCACUGAGCACCUCCCAGGUUCAAAGCCCUGGGCCAGGCUAAAAUAUGUGGGGCCAGAACCCAGGACGAUCCUGAGGAGACAGAAGGCAGCAAACAAAAUCAUGCACAAUGGUGAAAGGUGCUCUUCCUGACUCACGGGGAGCCAUGGUAGGGACCCAUGGUGGGGGGCAGCAGGAUGGAGGGCUGCUGAGCCUCCCCUGGCAACACUGACAGUACCAAAUGCUGGGGGCAGGGGGAUUCGGGGCCCCAGAAACUCUCAUCCACAGCUGGUGGAAACGUGACAUGACACAGCCACUUUGGAAGCCAGCUGGACAGUCACUCGCAAAGCUCAGUGGACUCGAACCACAUGUCCCCAAAAUGUCACAGACAUUGAACCAACUGAUUUGAAAACGGACAUCCACAUUGUAGAAAGUAAAAAGUUCCUCUUCAAAGUUUCCCUUCUUGUUAAAUAAUAGAUCAUAAGUGUUGAAAUAACAGUUUUCUUUAAAGACUAACUUCCUUCAAGCCUCCUUGCUUUGUGCUAAUAACUCUUUGUAAAGCCCUAUCCUAUGUAGCUGUUAGAUAUAAAGGAAUAAGUACAUUAUAUGUCUUUGUGCUUUAAUCAAGGUUAUCUGUGCUGGACAUGCUCACAGGCAGGUCCCGGCUCGAAGCCUAUGCCCCUUCCUUAUUUGGGAAUGUGAUUACUUUUCUAAGUCUUUUCAUAAGCAACUUCCUCUUUUCCUUUGUUCUCCAUUGCUUUUGCCUAUUUAGAAACAUUUUAAAUUAUUAGUCAGUCAGCUUUAGUUUAGAUUGUGUGGUCCGGCUCCAGCCAAUGGAGACAGGACACAGUAGCAGGGACAAGUUGCAUAAAGGAUAAAAAUUGCUUCCCUCCUUUAUUCAGGUGUGCUCUUGCCAUUGUUCCAUCUGCGAGGAGCGCCCUUUCUGCAGAAGGUAAAAUUGCCUUGCUGAGAAAACUUUUUGUUUAAAUGCUGAUGUUUCUUUGUGGUACUGAGGAACAAGCAUUCUGUUUCUAAAUAAACAUUUUGCUUAUAACAUACAUGAAACCUGCAUGCCACAUUCACUGCUUGAUUCAUCAUCACUCACACAGAGAGGCCAUGGGGACAACCUUCAACACGGGGAUGGGGAGAGGAUGGGUGGCCCUCCCUUCAAAGGGAAAAAGACUCAGUGAGAAAAGUGAACAAGCCAGUGAUGCCCACAUGAACGUCAGUGGAUCUUAGUUGCAUUUUGCUAAGGGAAAGAAACCAGACCCAACAAGCUACUGCUGUAGGGUUCCAAUUCAUAGGCCAUUCUGGAAAAGGCCAAAUCAUAGGGACAGAGAACAGGUUGGGAUGGCCAAAGGCUGAUGGACUGGGAAGAGGUUGGCGACAUAGGGGAUACCCUGGAGACUUGGAGGAUGAAGGAAUUGCUCCAGGAGGGGCUGGAGUGGUGGCCAGGAGACUCUGCACAUUGGUUUAGAACCAUGGAGGAACUGUACACCCCAAAGACUGAACUGGAGGGUGUGCAAACUGAAAAAAUAAAAAUCAGAGUGUGAUCAGUCAACUCACUGUACAACUGGGAUAUUUGCAUAUCACAGAUAUGGAUUUUGCUGAAACAUUUCUUAAACAACCAAGGCCCUGAAGAGCUUACAGCCUAUCUGGUGAAUCAUCUGAACCUGAAAUUGGAUUUGUUGUUAGGGUUUGUAGACAAAGUGAAACUAAAAGCGUCUGCACAAAACAAAUGAAAGCCCCCUUUAUCUCUUUCCUAGGCAACAGGAAUUAUUCUACAUCCUCCUGGCAUAUUUGGCAUAUAACCCUAUGAGUAUUCCCAGGCAGUGACAUUUCUGGGCCAUAUUCCCAUAUUCAUGGGCAUGGGUGUCUGGUAAGGGCAUCGUUGCUUCUUUCAAAGUCAGUAUUUGUGACCCACCAGGAUAUAGUAGAUAGGACUCCAGCUCACUGCUGGCUUAAAUCUCCAAGCAAGGGAGGUGGUCUCAAGGGGUCAAACUGAGACAGAGGAGUCAGGGCCCCAACUACUAGUGUCACCUGGGCCUGACCACCACUUCUCAUAACAAGAAAUGACACCCUCCUCCUGGGGCUGUCCUGAAGCCCAGGAGCUUGGCAGUGUCACAUGCAGGACGGUGCCCUCAGGAAACAUUUUGGACAAGUUGCUGAAGUGCCUGAUGGACAUGGCUCUUGUUAGGAAAUAAAUUUGCAUCCGGAGGAAGCCUCUUCUUCAGAGGAAGCCUCCCCAGUCACCUCUGCCCUCUCCAAUGACAUGAGUCCUCCCAGGUGACCUCAGCCCUCCAGGAGAUGUCCUUCCAUGGUGACUCUGGAUCUUGCAGGAGGUGGACUACUGCAGGGACCUGAGCCACGCUGCUGCCUUGUUUCUCCUCUAUCAGCCUGAGGAGGAUGCAUUCUGGGCACCGGCCCAGCUGUUGGCUGAUGAGAGGUACUCCCCGCAGGGUAGGUGAACAGCUGCCCCCCAAACACGCAGCCAAACCCGGGGAUGGCCACCCUAGCCAGAUUAUCUCGACUUUCAGCAAAGGUACCUUCCUUGUGUCGCCAGCUUGUUGGGAGCAUUUAGGAUGUCUCUGCUGAGGGUCCCACAGGAGCCCAGGGAUGAACAGGGACCCCCAGACCCUGAGUCAGAUGCCUUUCAUCCCCGUCAGCAGAGGGCAUCUCAUCUUCACCGUGGCUGAUCUCUGUGUCCUGGAGCCACACUCUCCAGCUCUAAUUCCAUGCAGCUGACUCUCCCCUCCCUGAGAGUCCUCCUGCCCUCCAGCUGGCCGGGCUCCAGCUGCCCUUGGUCUCCACAGGUGGGCCGACAAAGCCCAGAUGGCAGCAUCUCCCCAUCCCGUGUCCCCUGGUCUGACCCCACUUCCAGGAGACAACCAGGAAGCCCAGCACCCACCCUGUUCUUUCUUUCUGCUCUCUGUCGUGGCCUCAAAGUCAGGCUUGCCCUCCCGGCAUCCUGGCCCAGGAGGCCUCCUGGAGCACCUCCAGCCAGGCUCCAGGGGAUGUUCCCACCCCUCCUCCCCAGGGCCAAGGCCACAUGGUGGGGUCACCAGAUGGGAGGGUGGGAGGCCUUGGGGCUCAGGGGCCUCUGCAGCUGCCCAGUUCUUCCAGCCGACAGCUCCACAUCUUGGGAGCAGGCUCUGAUUUCAUGAUGGGCUGGGGUCUUCUCAAAUUCUACAGCCCAAAUAGCACGAGGCCCCAGGGGCUCCAGGACCACCAGGACCAUGUGGUACCCUAGUCAUACCCCAAGACCACUAGGCACCCUGGGAGUUUAUGGUCCCCUCGGCUCUUUCCCAGAGGCCCUGCAUCCCAUAGGGCUGGCAGAGUGCGGGGCUGGAGACCCCUGUGGGGCUGAUGAGAGGCUGAGUCCCAGCCAGGCCCUGACCUGGGAUGUGGGGGUUCUCCAUGCGUUUGGAGUUGGGUUUCCUCCCCUGCCCUGGAGGACACAGAGGCACAGGCACUGGGGCCCAGCUCCUGCAGAGCAAGGCCAAGGGCAGUAUGUCCACCGGGGGUGUGGAAAGGGGAAGGUGUUGUGGGGAGCCCUGGACACCAUCCUGUGUUCUGCACUUGGGGAAGGGUCUUCAGAGGACCCUGGAAGAGG
rnacentral:lncRNA from 1 species